ensembl:miRNA
AACACGCGGCCCGGCAGCUCUGAGUUCACUGGGUAUUUGAGAUUCCGGGCCAGCGUUGUGUU